AGCAAUAAAUCUAAAUAGUAAAAAACAAACCUAUUAAAUCUAAAUUUAUAGGUUCGACUCCUAUUAUUGCUC
rnacentral:tRNA from 1 species